AAAAGCUCACAGGUAAAGAACUCGCUCAAUCAGAGCAGCAUCUCAGAUUCAGUCUCAGACCUUCUCAGACAGCAGUAGACCAUGUUUAAAAAAAUAACGAAAUAAAGGAAAACAUUGGUGCAAAAUUUAGUGACUGGGUCCAUCAGAACAUAUAGAGACUGCAAGAAAUGGGAACAGAAGUGUGCCUUGUGAGACUGCAAAUCAAAUUCAUGUGCAAAUUUUAAUUAAUAUGUCCUCUCAGUUUAGUUAAUUCACGUACGUGUUUUAAUUGAAACCUUCUCAUGAUCUGGUUAAUACAUGUGCCUGCAUUCUACAUAUUCCUGCUGUGCUUGUUUUUCUGUACUUUGACUUUCUGGGAGACACUGGCCUACUAAAAAGGGCCUUGAAUUAAGUAAAUCAUAUCUGAGAUCACAAACUCUUUCAUUGUCUGUUUUUAGAAAAUAUAGAACACGCCUUUCCUCAUAAACCUGAAGACCACUAGUGUGUAAGAAAGAGAUUCAACUUUGGUGGAAUUACGGGCAGCACGGGUUAUCUUCUUGAAGUGACAUUUGAAAGGGUCACAACAAGAUUUCUGAUUGAGUCUAAACAACUUCUCUACCGAAGACAUUUUGAAAACGUAUGGUGCUGCAGCAAAGACAACGCUUUUAUCUCCAGCAGAAAAUAUCCAACUAAACUAGAACCAGUGAAUGCAUCAGUGAAAGAGCACAUUCUGCUAGGGCAGUCUGAAUCACAG